UCUGGAUCUCUUCUCUCCUCCUCACUUAAGUAACUUUUCUUCAUGUCCUGGGUCAUGCCCCAGGAAUUUUUAUCUACAAGAUGCGUGCUGCUGGCAUGACCAAAAUGUGAGACGUUAGCGACAUCUGCUGGGGAUAUGGUGAUGGUGUGCAGAAUUUAAGUCAGAAAUGCAUGUUUUUGAAGGGCUGAGUUAAAUCAAAUGCCACAAUGGGGCACUGUUGGAAGCUUAUGUCUACAGUGAUGAGGCCAUGGCUUUGCAGCUCUUCCUUACCAGGAUGUGGUCCAGUGGGUUAUUGUUCUCCUACAAUAUAAUGCAGCCUUGUUUUUUUAAAAAUACAGAAAUCAAGAAGAUGGAAAAGGAGCUGAACUGGGGAAAGCUGAGGUUUGCACACCAGAGCCAGUCCAGGGAGUGUGGUUCCGGAACGGGUGGAGCUUCUGGUGUAGUGGAUGUGG
rnacentral:lncRNA from 1 species